GUAGUAAAUUUACUUUGAAAAUAAGAAAAAAAAUUUAUUUGAAUUAGUUAAAGUGAAAACCAACCAACAUCUCCCAAAAAGACGUAAAGAUCGGAAUUAUACAAAGCCAUGGAGAUUGACAAUGCGCUGCAUAGUUUUAAACAAGACGAUGAGGCCUGCGACUGCUUGCGUGAAAAGAAAAUUAAAGCUAAUCUCUACGGAAUUUUGCUAUUUUUGCUUGCUGUGGCAAUAUUCAUCGGUUGUUGCACUUAUUUCUGUCCUAAAUUAGGCGCUAAACUUAUAGGCGUAGUAAUAAUAUUGUUGUAGUGCCAUUGAAUUUGUCCAAAUAUGAAUAAUCAACUAAGAUCGUACAUCUUCCAUUU